rnacentral:misc_RNA from 1 species
ACAGCCACAAAAUCUGAGAAGG